AGUGAACGCUGGCGGCAGGCCUAACACAUGCAAGUCGAACGGCAGCACGGCAGUAGCAAUACUGUGGGUGGCGAGUGGCGGACGGGUGAGUAAUAUAUCGGAACGUACCUUUCAGUGGGGGAUAACGUAGCGAAAGUUACGCUAAUACCGCAUAUUCUGUGAGCAGGAAAGCAGGGGAUCGCAAGACCUUGCGCUGAUUGAGCGGCCGAUAUCAGAUUAGCUAGUUGGUGAGGUAAAGGCUCACCAAGGCGACGAUCUGUAGCGGGUCUGAGAGGAUGAUCCGCCACACUGGAACUGAGACACGGUCCAGACUCCUACGGGAGGCAGCAGUGGGGAAUUUUGGACAAUGGGCGCAAGCCUGAUCCAGCCAUGCCGCGUGAGUGAAGAAGGCC
rnacentral:rRNA from 1 species